GACUCUGUAGCUCAAUUGGUUAGAGCACUGCACUGGAAUAGCAGGGUCACAGGUUCGAUUCCUGCCAGAGGAC